rnacentral:lncRNA from 10 species
ACCCAGGCUCAUUGUGGUUUUGAUUUGCCUUUCCCUAAUGACUAAAGAUACUGAACAUCUUUUCAUGUGCUUCUUGGUCAUUUGUACACCCUCUUUGGAAAAUGUCUGUUCAAGUCCUUUGCCCAUUUUAAAAUUGGGGGGUUUGUCUUUUUGUUGUUGAGUUGUAAGAGUUCUUUCUAUAUUCUACGGAGUAGAUCCUAAUCAGAUAUAUAAUUUGUAAAUACUUUCAUUCUGUAGGUUGUUGUCUUAGUUUGUUUGUGCUGCUAUAACAGAAUAUCUAAGAAUGAUUCAUUUAUAACAAACAGAAAUUUAUUGGCUCACAGUUUCAGAGCUCAGAAGUCCAAGAUCAAGGCACUAACAUCUGGUGAGGGCCUUCUUUCCGCAUCAUCAUGUGGUGGAAGGCCACCAAGCCCGGCUAAUUUUUUUGUAU